rnacentral:lncRNA from 1 species
CCCAGGAGGGGAUACAGGAGUUGGGGGGAACUUCAGAGAUGAGAGGGAGUGUGUCCUGGGACCCCUGGGGCUGGCUUUGGGGCAGAGGCUAAGGCCAAGGCCCUCCCCAUUAGGCCUCUGGAGCCAGCACAGUUACUGCAUCCCCAAACAGAGAUGUGGUCUCACUAUGCUGCCCAGACUGGCCUCAAACACUUGGACUUGAGCAAUCCUCCCACCUCGGCCUCCCACAGCACUGGAUUACAGGCAUGAGCCACCACAGCCGGCCUGGGGAGAGAUUUAUUGAGCGACUUCUAUGUGCCAGGCACUGUGUCAGGGGGAGACACAGACAACAAGCAAGGGGAUACGUGAGAAAGAAGGAAGAUCAAUCGAUGAUUAAGAUGGCUAUGGAGAAAAAUAAAGCAGGGGAGGC